rnacentral:SRP_RNA from 1 species
GCCAGGCGUGGUGUCGCAUGCCUGUAAUCCCAGCUACCCAGGAGGCUGAGGCAGAAGAAUCGCUGGAACCCGGGAGGCAGAGGCUGCAGUGAGCUGAGAUCAAGCCACUGCACUCCAGCCUGGGUGACAGAGUGAGACUCCGUCUCAA